rnacentral:lncRNA from 1 species
CUGAUGAAUGGAACACAUUCCAAAAAAAAUUAUAAGGAACUGUUGUAAUGUUCGAAAUGAAUUAGCGACCAAGAUUGAACAAAAUAAUGGCACUUAGCUUAUAAAUAUAAUUCACGUAGAACGAUUGUUUGACAGUACUGCAUUAAUAUCUUUUAUUUUCUUGUCUGUUCUAUGUUUUCUAUUCCAUAAGAUAGGCAUCCGACCCUACCUAUAAUUUUCACAUGUACAGUAAGUUAUUAUAUGUAGUCCUGUCGCAGUAUAAGGUUUCAAAACCUAAGAUGAACUUUGUGAAAAAUAUCUUUUUAUUUAUAAUAGACUUAUAUAAUUUUGCAAUUUGCUAAUUUCCUUCGAUUACAAAAAACUUCGAUCUCCUUUUCGGUUCUUUUCGGUCCUUUUCGGUUCUUUUUGGUCCUUUUCGGUCCUUUUCGGUUCUUUUCUGUAAAUCGUCGCUCUUUUCUGUAAGUCGUCGAACCCGU